AGAAAAUCACUAGACCAUUCAGAUGGUAAUUGGAGAUUAUGCUCGUUUCCUCUUGCUGAACUGUCUGAGCGCAGUAGCAUCACAUGCUUUGUGGAAUUCCAGAACUAUUUUAUGGAAAUGAAGCACAGUUUCAGAAGAUACUCACAGCCUAUUUACCCACCUCUCAGUACAUCUAACAGAUCUUCACAUGUGAUGUCAUCAGGUAAAUGACAUUGGCAAGUGAUAAUCCCCUGGGCAGUCGAUGCCAGAACCACCAAGAGGAGUAAAGUGUCAGUCACUUUCACCAAUUUCAGUGUCCACCUUAGAGGGAAGGGGAAUUACUAUGGGAUUCCUGAGGUCUGCAUGACUCUUGAGUAUCCAUAGCCAACACAGUUACUGCUCACUUUUCCUUCCCAUCUGCUUCUUGGCUGGCUGGUGGGGGUGGGGGUCUUAUUGGAGGAAAGCUUGUUUGCUAAGAAAUUCUGCUCCUGGCUUUGCUCUGAGGAUCUCAUGGAUGUGACUCUAAAAGCAAAUUCUUUCAAGUCAACUUGCUCUUUUGAGCUAGAUUUCAGUAAGCAUCAAAAUUUGAAACAAAUUCUGCUAUUCCUAUCACUGAAAAGGCAAAUAAUCAGCUCAUAUUUCUGGGUUUUGUUCUAAAAACCUAAACACUCAAGAUAGCAACAUGUUUUUAUGCCUAAAAACAGCCACUAAUAUGCCCCAAGUACU